CCUGGCCUUGACAUACUAAGAACUUUCCAGAGAUGGAUUGGUGCCUUCGGGAACUUAGAUACAGGUGCUGCAUGGCUGUCGUCAGCUCGUGUCGUGAGAUGUUGGGUUAAGUCCGCAACGAGCGCAACCCUUUUCCUUAUUUGCCAGCGGGUAAUGCCGGGAACUUUAAGGAUACUGCCAGUGACAAACUGGAGGAAGGCGGGACGACGUCAAGUCAUCAUGGCCCUUACGGCCAGGGCUACACACGUGCUACAAUGGUCGGUACAAAGGGUUGCUACCUCGCGAGAGGAUGCUAAUCUCAAAAAGCCGAUCGUAGUCCGGAUCGCAGUCUGCAACUCGACUGCGUGAAGUCGGAAUCGCUAGUAAUCGCGGAUCAGAAUGCCGCGGUGAAUACGUUCCCGGGCCUUGUACACACCGCCCGUCACACCAUGGGAGUUUGUUGCACCAGAAGUAGGUAGUCUAACCGCAAGGAGGACGCUUACCACGGUGUGGCCGAUGACUGGGGUGAAGUCGUAACAAGGUAAGCGUAGAUGA
rnacentral:rRNA from 1 species